rnacentral:rRNA from 1 species
AUUGAACGCUGGCGGAAUGCUUUACACAUGCAAGUCGAACGGCAGCACGGGGGCAACCCUGGUGGCGAGUGGCGAACGGGUGAGUAAUACAUCGGAACGUGCCCAGUCGUGGGGGAUAACGUAGCGAAAGUUACGCUAUUACCGCAUACGAUCUACGGAUGAAAGCGGGGGACCGUAAGGCCUCGCGCGAUUGGAGCGGCCGAUGUCAGAUUAGGUAGUUGGUGAGGUAAAGGCUCACCAAGCCGACGAUCUGUAGCUGGUCUGAGAGGACGACCAGCCACACUGGGACUGAGACACGGCCCAGACUCCUACGGGAGGCAGCAGUGGGGAAUUUUGGACAAUGGGCGCAAGCCUGAUCCAGCCAUUCCGCGUGCAGGACGAAGGCCUUCGGGUUGUAAACUGCUUUCGUACGGAACGAAAAGGCUCUGGUUAAUACCUGGGGCUCAUGACGGUACCGUAAGAAUAAGCACCGGCUAACUACGUGCCAGCCGCCGCAGUAA